UCUGCUUUAUUAUAAUUUAUUAUAGUAGCUUUUCGUGCUGCAGAUAGUUAUUGGUUAACUAAGCAGGG
rnacentral:tRNA from 1 species